UACGUAGGAUGCAAGCGUUGUCCGGAAUUAUUGGGCGUAAAGCGAACGUAGGCGGUUUCUUAAGAUUGGUCUUAAAGACCGGGGCUCAACCCCGGGAAUGGAUCGAUAACUGGGAGACUGGAGGACGUCAGAGGAAAGUGGAAUUCCGGGUGUAGCGGUGGAAUGCGUAGAGAUCCGGAAGAACACCGGUGGCGAAGGCGGUCUGCUGGGCAGUUGCUGACGCUGAUGCGCGACAGCGUGGGGAGCAAACGAGG
rnacentral:rRNA from 1 species